rnacentral:rRNA from 1 species
UACGUAGGGACCGAGCGUUGUCCGGAAUCAUUGGGCGUAAAGAGCGUGUAGGCGGCCAGACAGGUCAGCUGUGAAAACUCGAGGCUCAACCUCGAGACGUCGGUUGAAACCGUCUGGCUAGAGUCCGGAAGAGGAGAGUGGAAUUCCCGGUGUAGCGGUGAAAUGCGCAGAUAUCGGGAAGAACACCCGUGGCGAAGGCGGCUCUCUGGGACGGUACUGACGCUGAGACGCGAAAGCGUGGGGAGCGAACAGG